CAGUUGAUGGCGAGCGGCGGACGGGUGAGUAAUGCAUAGGAAUCUGCCUUUUAGUGGGGGAUAACGUAGGGAAACUUACGCUAAUACCGCAUAAUACGGACUGUUAAAGGUGCCGCAAGGUACCGCUAGAAGAUGAGCCUAUGUUGGAUUAGCUAGUUGGUGGGGUAAAGGCCUACCAAGGCGACGAUCCAUAGCUGUUCUGAGAGGAAGACCAGCCACACUGGGACUGAGACACGGCCCAG
rnacentral:rRNA from 1 species